CGGUUCUACAAAGAGCUGGACGUGAUACUCGGGGGCGACCCCACCUCCACUGCAAAGGCCCCGGUGGAUACUUCGGUGGCUCGUGUGCCAGCUGAGAGUGGACAGAGCCAGGAGAAGGAAAUCUUGGAUGAGGAUGUGGAUGGGAAGGGGGACCCAGAAGCAGAGGACGACUUGGAGGUCAGAGAUGCGUGCAGCCAGGAGUUCUUCUCUACCUCAGAGGAGACUAGCCAGUCACAGCUGUUGGAGCUUGGCGAAGUGCAAACAGGAGAGGAGGCCCCGGUAUGACCUUGGGAGCCCAGCCUCCGUCUUUGUUAUCGCCAGCUGAAUGGCUGCUCAGAAUUAGAAAGUGGCCACGAAGAACUAAAGAGGACUUUCUGCAUGAUGUCAUGAUGCACUCCAUGGCC